UCAUUUUUCCAAAUUACUCGGAUAAGCCAUUUUCAAAAGGUAUGCUACUUUUGCUCACCGCGCCGCAGGAGCAAAAAAUCAACAAACUGAACUUUGUCACCAUCGCCGCAACCAGCAUCCUGCGGAUUUUCUUCUGAACGGAACGUCCGGACCUGAGAAAACCCGAGAACUGCGGACAGCAAUUCCAAGAGCAGUUCAGCAUCGGACUGGAAGCAAUAUAAUCUUGAAGGUUCCCAAAAACGGAGCUGAAAAGUUGAUGAACCGAGGCAAUCAAGCGGCGCAGGAGUGUCGCUUGAAUGCAAAAGUAAACAGCCGGAUGUGAUGUACGUGGGUAUGUAGACAGCUCGGAUCUAGGCUCGGAUGGAGACUCAAGGAACGAAGCUUUGGCGACAGUAUGAGGUGCACCAAGGCGAAGCUACUCCGGCACCCGGUUCAGGUUACCUAUUUGGAUUAUGCUGUUGAACGGGGAGUUGGAGCAUACCUCAACUGCUACCGAAUGUAUUGAAUUCCGUUUAGAUUCAGUGGCUACAGCUGGAAGUGGCAAUGUUAAUAUUACACUUGAAUUUCUGUUAUAAGUGAUUUUUCAAUAAGUUUAUUUUCAUUAAUAGUCGGUUAGAAGCAGGGUUAGAAGUCAUCCAUGUAGAACGCCACGCUUGGAGGAGGGGGAGAUCUUUGUGAAGGCGUGGCAAACAAUGUGUUAUGCAUAGAAAAUUUAAUAACCCUUAUAAAGGAAGGAGGGAUGUUAGCUUAUAAGAUUUUCAUUUUAUCCAAUAUUUUACCUGUUAUCAAUAUAUAAUCGGAAAAUUUA